AUAAAGUUAGAAGAUUUCGGAUGCUGGCAUUCUCAGUUUGACCGUAAAACCGUAUAGUUUAGUUUUUCCUUUAAAAUGUUCAUUCCGAAAGCCUGCUGGAAUACUUACCUGGUUACCUGUUGCUGGACCUGUUGGGAGUUCUCGCUGGUAUACUUACCUAACCCGCUCUUGGACCUUUGAUGUUUCCUCCGGUUGAAAGCUGAAUUUGAAAGAUAAAGUUUUGUAAAGGUUUUGGAUUUCGACAGUUCACAUAUAUUCAAGAACGCCAAAGGGUGAAUCAAAUAACGGAUCGACGAUUGUCGAAGAUACAAGAAAAGAGGAAAUUUAUAUACAUAAUACGACGGCUAAUUGGCUGACGGCUGACAGCAGAAGGAAGUUUGGAAAUGCAGCUGAAGUCACAAAUGGCACAUCAUACCACUCUAUUGGUUGCAAACAGAGAUGAAUUCGUGGGGCCGAACUUGGUUCUGACGAUUAAACUCUCAACUGGGAGUAGUGAUGCAGAAGGCGAUGAACGAUUGUAUGGAUUCACGAACAAAACCAUGGUGCUAAUUAGGAAAAACGGACUUCGUUCUAAGGAGUCGGCGAUUGUCGAACCAAGACGAUCAAUACCUUAGAAUACGGCAAGGGCUGUAAUCGACAAGACCUGACAACUGGCUUCUUAUUCUUCCUUCCGAAUCAUCCUUCUCGUCAUUUUCACCCUGUGGAAUAAAUACCAACGUAUCGGCUACAGUGUAGCCAUAUUACAGAUUUUUUAAUAACUAUGCUAGGAAAAAAAUAUUACAUAUAAAUUUUUAGAAUUUAGGUUUUUGAUUUGAAAUAAACAUAAAACAUGUUUUGGUGAAAGCAUUUCUUUAAAAUAAAUUAAUGCUUAAAAACAAUUAAUUGAGCUUUGAUGACAAACCACGAAAUAUCUCUUGUUGAACGCAAAAUCGAAUCCUUCGUUGCCGUAUUACCGGAUCUUUUGGAAACCGGAAGAAGUCAGGUUUGGAUAGAAAUGCUUAAUGCGAUCACAGUGUGGAACACAACAGUUCAUUCUUCUCGUGAAACUAAACACAUUUUCGAGUUUACAGUAAUUUAACAAAUAUUUUUUGGUUACCUUUAAUUCACUAAAAAGAAAAACGGCUUGAUGCCUAUUUUAAUUACA